AAUAUUGGUCAAUGGGCGGAAGCCUGAACCAGCCAUGCCGCGUGCAGGAGGACUGCCNNNUGGGUNGUAAACUGCUUUUAUACNAGCNUAACCGUACCGACUUGUCGGGAUCUGAAUGUAGCGUAGGAAUAAGGAUCGGCUCACUCCGUGCCAGCAGCCGCGGUAAUACGGAGGAUCCGAGCGUUAUCGGGAUUUAUUGGGUUUAAAGGGUGCGUAGGCGGCACAUUAAGUCAGGGGUGAAAUUCGGCAGCUCAACUGUCGGCGUGCCUUUGAUACUGGUGUGCUUGAAUUGGUUCGAGGUCGGCGGAAUGUGACAAGUAGCGGUGAAAUGCAUAGAUAUGUCACAGAACUCCAAUUGCGAAGGCAGCUGACCAGGUCCAUAUUGACGCUGAUGCACGAAAGCGUGGGUAUCGAACA
rnacentral:rRNA from 1 species